GCGUGACCCGUUUUGUCAAGCUUUUAUUAAGUUGGCACAAGUUUGAACUAGCCAUCUAGUUCCGCUGGUGGGAAAACGAAUGGGACUCAUGAGCUGUAGCGAUGACCUAUUGCGUGCAGAGGGAAUUUGAAAGACAACCGAUUAUCCCGCCCCUCGGACUGAGCACUGCCAACAGUG